rnacentral:rRNA from 1 species
AUUGAACGCUGGCGGCAGGCCUAACACAUGCAAGUCGAGCGAGCGGCGGACGGGUGAGUAAUGUCUGGGAAACUGCCUGAUGGAGGGGGAUAACUACUGGAAACGGUAGCUAAUACCGCAUACCAUCAGAUGUGCCCAGAUGGGAUUAGCUAGUAGGUGGGGUAACGGCUCACCUAGGCGACGAUCCCUAGCUGGUCUGAGAGGAUGACCAGCCACACGGGAACGGAGACAGGGUCCAGACGCCUAGGGGAGGCAGAAGUGGGGAAUAUUGAACAAGGGGUGAAAGCCUGAGGCAGCCAGGCCGGGUGGGUGAAGAAGGCCUUCGGGUUGUAAAGCACUUUCAGCGGGGAGGCGUUACCCGCAGAAGAAGCACCGGCUAACCCCGUGCCAGCCGCCGCGGUAAUA